rnacentral:rRNA from 1 species
GACGAACGCUGGCGGCGUGCCUAACACAUGCAAGUCGAACGGUGAAUAGUGGUAGAUUGUUUAUACAGUCUACUGCUAGGAACAGUGGCGGACGGGUGAGUAACGCGUGGAUAACCUGCCUGUAAGACUGGGAUAACACCGGGAAACCGGUGCUAAUACCGGGCGUGCUGUAGAAUGGGCAUCCAUUUUACAGGGAAGGACUUUAAGUCUGCUUACAGAUGGGUCCGCGUCCCAUUAGCUAGCUGGUGGGGUAAAAGCCUACCAGGGCGACGAUGGGUAGCCGGCCUGAGAGGGUGGUCGGCCACACUGGGACUGAGACACGGCCCAGACUCCUACGGGAGGCAGCAGUGGGGAAUAUUGCGCAAUGGGCGGAAGCCUGACGCAGCGACGCCGCGUGGGUGACGAAGGCCUUCGGGUCGUAAAACCCUCGUUGUCAGGGGACGAAGGAAGUGACGGUACCCUGUGAGGAAGCCCCGGCUAACUACGUGCCAGCAGCCGCGGUAAGAGUAGUACA